CUAGCUACUGUGAAGAAAAUUAGCUGUACUCCAGCCAAAGCCAGCACAAAUAGGCAUGGGAGAAAAACACACUGGAUGUAUCACUGGAUCCAAAACUACUGAGCAUUGUGGUGAUCUACUCGAGGGACACUUACUGGAGCUGAGAUGGAGCUUUUCAAUUGUACUGAUCUCCUCUAUGACAGGAUGAAAAAAAGGACCCUGAGAACGAACAGCCUGUCAGCCCCACCUCUAUGCCUAGAACAAUCAUGGAAAAGAUCCUCACAGAAAUUCUGCUAAGGCACAGGGAGGAUAGCAAGGUGAUUCAGGAGAGACAGCUCUGCUUCACCAAGGGAAAAUCCUGUUUGACCAGCUCAGUGGCCUUCUACAGCACUGUGAUUACAUCACUGGAAGAGGGGAGGGCUACAGAUGUCA